rnacentral:rRNA from 1 species
ACGAACGCUGGCGGCAGGCUUAACACAUGCAAGUCGAGCGCCUCGCAAGAGGAGCGGCAGACGGGUGAGUAACGCGUGGGAACGUACCCUUAUCUUCGGAAUAGCUCUGGGAAACUGGAAGUAAUACCGAAUGUGCCCUUAGGGGGAAAGAUUUAUCGGAUAAGGAUCGGCCCGCGUUGGAUUAGCUAGUUGGUGGGGUAAAGGCCUACCAAGGCGACGAUCCAUAGCUGGUCUGAGAGGAUGAUCAGCCACAUUGGGACUGAGACACGGCCCAAACUCCUACGGGAGGCAGCAGUGGGGAAUAUUGGACAAUGGGCGCAAGCCUGAUCCAGCCAUGCCGCGUGAGUGAUGAAGGCCUUAGGGUUGUAAAGCUCUUUCACCGGAGAAGAUAAUGACGGUAUCCGGAGAAGAAGCCCCGGCUAACUUCGUG